CAGUUUUAUGAACAACUAAGUAAGUGUAGCUAAAAAUACUAAUGAGAUAUAAUUCUUAGCUUCUCAGAUGGGAGAAAAAUGAGAAGCUGGCUGACACUCAGGACCGUCAUGGCUGAGGGGACCGGGCUCUGCCAAGCACGGCUAGAAGGAGCAGAAAUCCAAACUAAUGUUCAGGGAGAUUUAUUUAUAUCUCUCUGGGUAGCUCCCUGGCUUACUCUGCAUCACUGAGAAGACUGGAGCGGGGGUUCUCAGUGCCUCAGUUUCCCCACUUACUCAGUAGCUAGAACAACAAAGACCUGUUUGUGCAGGCAGAAGAUUGAGGAGGGUGGGAAGCAGAACUAAGAAGUGAUUAUGAGGUUAUCAAUGCAAAGACCACCAGGCACUGUGACAGCGACAGUCACCUCUGACCUGCAUGGCCCCCCAGCUUCCCGCCCAGAACACUCUGACAUUUUAGUUGGUCUCAGCUGUGGCAAGAAGCAGCUGGACCCCAGUGAGAAGAGGAAACCAGAGGCUGCCUUCUGACAGCUGGGGUCAGGGUCCCUGGCUCAGUGGGCCUGAGUUCAGGUGCACCUACUUCCUCAUUCCCAUUCUGUCAAAUGGCACAUUAAUAAGCAAGAAGGAGAUUCGGGGAAGAAUUUCCAGAAGGACAAAAACUCAUCAGGAGGGCCUGAGUGCUGGCUGCCUGCACCAGCAGAAACUGGCAGGACUCAAGGCAUCCUGGGUACAGCUGUCAGAGAAGGAACAAAGAUCUGACAACCGACUGGUCCUUUCUCUGUGCUGUGCGGUAGAGGAGAGGAUGCAACCUCGUGAAUGUCCGACUGCAAAGACCCACGUCUACAAAUUGCUGUCAGCCAGAGGAAUGACUGUAACUUCCUCGGUGCCGAGGUCCAGGGAGGACUGAUCACCCAAGGAAAUGCCGGUGUUUUGUAUUGGUAAAAUUCCAACUCUGAGAUGUGCGGGCCCUUCACACCAGCCCUAUUUAUCUCACUUUGCCCAUGAGUGUCCCAGUUCACGCCUGUGGUCCUCCUUUCCAGCUCUGAAGUGCUCUGGACUGGAAUAGAUGGUUUCCUCACUCACAGGUUUCCAUGUACCAAGCAG
rnacentral:lncRNA from 1 species